CACUGAUUGUGGUCAGUGUGGACAUUACACCAUAUUGUUACCUGCUGCUCCUUUGAUCUCUUUACAUGGUCAAUUUGAUCAUGGUUUAUUUAUUACUGCUUUUAUGAACUGUUUUUAUUGUUCCUGAAUGAUUCAUGUAUUGUUCUACGAACCGGCAACUGCUCACAAAGAGACUUAACAUCCUGGAAGUGGACAGAAAGCACUGGCCUUCUCCGAUGUAGAUCCCCGCAGACGUAUUGGAUUACCUGUUCUGACCUAGGCUUCUUCCCCAGCAACACGAAGCCAAGUCCUUGUCCCAAUAAACCCCUUUUAUUUCAUUUA